rnacentral:rRNA from 1 species
GCUAGCGGCAGGCUUACACAUGCAAGUCGAGGGGUAACAGGGAAAAGCUUGCUUUUUUGCUGACGACCGGCGAACGGGUGCGUAACGCGUAUAGAAUCUGCCUUGUACAGGAGGAUAGCCUUUAGAAAUGAAGAUUAAUACUCCAUAAUGUUGAGAGAUGGCAUCAUCUUUUAAUUAAAGAUUUAUCGGUACAAGAUGACUAUGCGUCCUAUUAGCUAGAUGGUAAGGUAACGGCUUACCAUGGCAACGAUAGGUAGGGGGUCUGAGAGGAUUAUCCCCCACACUGGUACUGAGACACGGACCAGACUCCUACGGGAGGCAGCAGUGAGGAAUAUUGGUCAAUGGAGGCAACUCUGAACCAGCCAUGCCGCGUGCUAGGAAGACUGCCCUAUGGGUUGUAAACUGCUUUUAUACAGGAAGAAACUUAGUUACGUGUAACUAACUGACGGUACUGUAAGAUAAGCACCGGCUAACUCC